rnacentral:pre_miRNA from 1 species
UUAGUACUCCCUCCGUCCCAAAAUUCUUGUCUUAAAUUUGUCUAAAUAUGGAUGUAUCUAGUUACAUUUUAGUGUUAGAUACAUCCGUAUCUAAACAAAUGUAAGACAAGAAUUUUGGGACGGAGGGAAUACUAC